rnacentral:rRNA from 1 species
CUAAGGCUAAAUACUCUCUAGUGACCGAUAGUGAACCAGUACCGUGAGGGAAAGGUGAAAAGCACCCCGGAAGGGGAGUGAAAUAGAACCUGAAACCGUGUGCUUACAAGUAGUCAGAGCCCGUUAAUGGGUGAUGGCGUGCCUUUUGUAGAAUGAACCGGCGAGUUACGAUUUGAUGCAAGGUUAAGCAGUAAAUGUGGAGCCGUAGCGAAAGCGAGUCUGAAUAGGGCGUUUAGUAUUUGGUCGUAGACCCGAAACCAGGUGAUCUACCCUUGGUCAGGUUGAAGUUCAGGUAACACUGAAUGGAGGACCGAACCGACUUACGUUGAAAAGUGAGCGGAUGAACUGAGGGUAGCGGAGAAAUUCCAAUCGAACCUGGAGAUAGCUGGUUCUCUCCGAAAUAGCUUUAGGGCUAGCCUCAAGUGAUGAUUAUUGGAGGUAGAGCACUGUUUGGACGAGGGGCCCCUCUCGGGUUACCGAAUUCAGACAAACUCCGAAUGCCAAUUAAUUUAACUUGGGAGUCAGAACAUGGGUGAUAAGGUCCGUGUUCGAAAGGGAAACAGCCCAGACCACCAGCUAAGGUCCCAAAAUAUAUGUUAAGUGGAAAAGGAUGUGGCGUUGCCCAGACAACUAGGAUGUUGGCUUAGAAGCAGCCAUCAUUUAAAGAGUGCGUAAUAGCUCACUAGUCGAGUGACACUGCGCCGAAAAUGUACCGGGGCUAAACAUAUUACCGAAGCUGUGGAUUGUCCUUUGGACAAUGGUAGGAGAGCGUUCUAAGGGCGUUGAAGCAUGAUCGUAAGGACAUGUGGAGCGCUUAGAAGUGAGAAUGCCGGUGUGAGUAGCGAAAGACGGGUGAGAAUCCCGUCCACCGAUUGACUAAGGUUUCCAGAGGAAGGCUCGUCCGCUCUGGGUUAGUCGGGUCCUAAGCUGAGGCCGACAGGCGUAGGCGAUGGAUAACAGGUUGAUAUUCCUGUACCACCUAUAAUCGUUUUAAUCGAUGGGGGGACGCAGUAGGAUAGGCGAAGCGUGCGAUUGGAUUGCACGUCUAAGCAGUAAGGCUGAGUAUUAGGCAAAUCCGGUACUCGUUAAGGCUGAGCUGUGAUGGGGAGAAGACAUUGUGUCUUCGAGUCGUUGAUUUCACACUGCCGAGAAAAGCCUCUAGAUAGAAAAUAGGUGCCCGUACCGCAAACCGACACAGGUAGUCAAGAUGAGAAUUCUAAGGUGAGCGAGCGAACUCUCGUUAAGGAACUCGGCAAAAUGACCCCGUAACUUCGGGAGAAGGGGUGCUCUUUAGGGUUAACGCCCAGAAGAGCCGCAGUGAAUAGGCCCAAGCGACUGUUUAUCAAAAACACAGGUCUCUGCUAAACCGUAAGGUGAUGUAUAGGGGCUGACGCCUGCCCGGUGCUGGAAGGUUAAGAGGAGUGGUUAGCUUCUGCGAAGCUACGAAUCGAAGCCCCAGUAAACGGCGGCCGUAACUAUAACGGUCCUAAGGUAGCGAAAUUCCUUGUCGGGUAAGUUCCGACCCGCACGAAAGGCGUAACGAUUUGGGCACUGUCUCAACGAGAGACUCGGUGAAAUCAUAGUACCUGUGAAGAUGCAGGUUACCCGCGACAGGACGGAAAGACCCCGUGGAGCUUUACUGUAGCCUGAUAUUGAAAUUCGGCACAGCUUGUACAGGAUAGGUAGGAGCCUUUGAAACGUGAGCGCUAGCUUACGUGGAGGCGCUGGUGGGAUACUACCCUAGCUGUGUUGGCUUUCUAACCCGCACCACUUAUCGUGGUGGGAGACAGUGUCAGGCGGGCAGUUUGACUGGGGCGGUCGCCUCCUAAAAGGUAACGGAGGCGCUCAAAGGUUCCCUCAGAAUGGUUGGAAAUCAUUCAUAGAGUGUAAAGGCAUAAGGGAGCUUGACUGCGAGACCUACAAGUCGAGCAGGGUCGAAAGACGGACUUAGUGAUCCGGUGGUUCCGCAUGGAAGGGCCAUCGCUCAACGGAUAAAAGCUACCCCGGGGAUAACAGGCUUAUCUCCCCCAAGAGUUCACAUCGACGGGGAGGUUUGGCACCUCGAUGUCGGCUCAUCGCAUCCUGGGGCUGUAGUCGGUCCCAAGGGUUGGGCUGUUCGCCCAUUAAAGCGGUACGCGAGCUGGGUUCAGAACGUCGUGAGACAGUUCGGUCCCUAUCCGUCGUGGGCGUAGGAAAUUUGAGAGGAGCUGUCCUUAGUACGAGAGGACCGGGAUGGACAUACCUCUGGUGUACCAGUUGUCGUGCCAACGGCAUAGCUGGGUAGCUAUGUGUGGACGGGAUAAGUGCUGAAAGCAUCUAAGCAUGAAGCCCCCCUCAAGAUGAGAUUUCCCAACUUCGGUUAUAAGAUCCCUCAAAGAUGAUGAGGUUAAUAGGUUCGAGGUGGAAGCAUGGUGACAUGUGGAGCUGACGAAUACUAAUCGAUCGAAGACUUAAUCAA